ACUCAAAUGAAUAGACGGGGGCCCGCACAAGCAGCGGAGCGUGUGGUUUAAUUCGACGCAACGCGCAGAACCUUACCCAGAUUGGACAUGGCACUGCAAGCCGGUGAAAGCCGGUCGCCUGCGAGGGUGUGCCACCGGUGCUGCAUGGCUGUCGUCAGCUCGUGUCGUGAGAUGUUGGGUUAAGUCCCGCAACGAGCGCAACCCCCGCGGCCAGUUAUCGGUGUCUGGCCGGACCGCCCCUCGGGGAGGAAGGCGGGGAUGACGUCAAGUCCGCAUGGCCCGUACGUCUGGGGCGACACACACGCUACAAUGACCACCCUAAUGCGCACGCCACCGGGUAACCGGGCGCCAAUCGCCAAUGGUGGUCUCAGUGCAGAUCGGGGGCUGCAACUCGCCCCCGUGAAGGCGGAGUUGCUAGUAACCGCGUAUCAGCCAUGGCGCGGUGAAUGCGUACCCGGGCCUUGUACACACCGCCCGU
rnacentral:rRNA from 1 species